GAGACAAACAUGCCUACGAGACACGAGACGAGUUACUUGUGACAGAGAAGAUAGAGGCAGUCAGUGCAAAACUUCAGUACUUGCCGGAUUUUCUAAUGUUACGUGACACGUAUGUGGACCAGAUGCCGAAUGGUUGCCACUGGAAAAUGCCUGCUGAUUGAGUUUGUCGUUUGUGCAAGCUACUGCUUACGCUGUAGUAGAGCAGAGUGGUUAGACUGCCAAGGAUUGGCAAUCCGGGGAAUGACGAGACUGCGAGUCUGAAAUCACCAGCAGUCUCUUGUGAUCCAGCAGUUGUUACUGGUCCUCGAGGUCUUCCUGGUCCUGUGGGUCAGAGAGGCAUGCCUGGG